UACGAAGGGGGCUAGCGUUGCUCGGAAUCACUGGGCGUAAAGGGUGCGUAGGCGGGUCUUUAAGUCAGGGGUGAAAUCCUGGAGCUCAACUCCAGAACUGCCUUUGAUACUGAAGAUCUUGAGUUCGGGAGAGGUGAGUGGAACUGCGAGUGUAGAGGUGAAAUUCGUAGAUAUUCGCAAGAACACCGGUGGCGAAGGCGGCCACCUGGGCCGGAACUGACGCUGAGGCGCGAAAGCGUGGGGAGCAAACGGG
rnacentral:rRNA from 1 species